GUGUGACUGCGUACCUUUUGUAUAAUGGGUCAGCGACUUAUAUUCUGUAGCAAGGUUAACCGAAUAGGGGAGCCGAAGGGAAACCGAGUCUUAACUGGGCGUUAAGUUGCAGGGUAUAGACCCGAAACCCGGUGAUCUAGCCAUGGGCAGGUUGAAGGUUGGGUAACACUAACUGGAGGACCGAACCGACUAAUGUUGAAAAAUUAGCGGAUGACUUGUGGCUGGGGGUGAAAGGCCAAUCAAACCGGGAGAUAGCUGGUUCUCCCCGAAAGCUAUUUAGGUAGCGCCUCGUGAAUUCAUCUCCGGGGGUAGAGCACUGUUUCGGCAAGGGGGUCAUCCCGACUUACCAACCCGAUGCAAACUGCGAAUACCGGAGAAUGUUAUCACGGGAGACACACGGCGGGUGCUAACGUCCGUCGUGAAGAGGGAAACAACCCAGACCGCCAGCUAAGGUCCCAAAGUCAUGGUUAAGUGGGAAACGAUGUGGGAAGGCCCAGACAGCCAGGAUGUUGGCUUAGAAGCAGCCAUCAUUUAAAGAAAGCGUAAUAGCUCACUGGUCGAGUCGGCCUGCGCGGAAGAUGUAACGGGGCUAAACCAUGCACCGAAGCUGCGGCAGCGACGCUUAUGCGUUGUUGGGUAGGGGAGCGUUCUGUAAGCCUGCGAAGGUGUGCUGUGAGGCAUGCUGGAGGUAUCAGAAGUGCGAAUGCUGACAUAAGUAACGAUAAAGCGGGUGAAAAGCCCGCUCGCCGGAAGACCAAGGGUUCCUGUCCAACGUUAAUCGGGGCAGGGUGAGUCGACCCCUAAGGCGAGGCCGAAAGGCGUAGUCGAUGGGAAACAGGUUAAUAUUCCUGUACUUGGUGUUACUGCGAAGGGGGGACGGAGAAGGCUAUGUUGGCCGGGCGACGGUUGUCCCGGUUUAAGCGUGUAGGCUGGUUUUCCAGGCAAAUCCGGAAAAUCAAGGCUGAGGCGUGAUGACGAGGCACUACGGUGCUGAAGCAACAAAUGCCCUGCUUCCAGGAAAAGCCUCUAAGCAUCAGGUAACAUCAAAUCGUACCCCAAACCGACACAGGUGGUCAGGUAGAGAAUACCAAGGCGCUUGAGAGAACUCGGGUGAAGGAACUAGGCAAAAUGGUGCCGUAACUUCGGGAGAAGGCACGCUGAUAUGUAGGUGAAGUCCCUCGCGGAUGGAGCUGAAAUCAGUCGAAGAUACCAGCUGGCUGCAACUGUUUAUUAAAAACACAGCACUGUGCAAACACGAAAGUGGACGUAUACGGUGUGACGCCUGCCCGGUGCCGGAAGGUUAAUUGAUGGGGUCAGCGCAAGCGAAGCUCUUGAUCGAAGCCCCGGUAAACGGCGGCCGUAACUAUAACGGUCCUAAGGUAGCGAAAUUCCUUGUCGGGUAAGUUCCGACCUGCACGAAUGGCGUAAUGAUGGCCAGGCUGUCUCCACCCGAGACUCAGUGAAAUUGAACUCGCUGUGAAGAUGCAGUGUACCCGCGGCAAGACGGAAAGACCCCGUGAACCUUUACUAUAGCUUGACACUGAACAUUGAGCCUUGAUGUGUAGGAUAGGUGGGAGGCUUUGAAGUGUGGACGCCAGUCUGCAUGGAGCCGACCUUGAAAUACCACCCUUUAAUGUUUGAUGUUCUAACGUUGACCCGUGAUCCGGGUUGCGGACAGUGUCUGGUGGGUAGUUUGACUGGGGCGGUCUCCUCCUAAAGAGUAACGGAGGAGCACGAAGGUUGGCUAAUCCUGGUCGGACAUCAGGAGGUUAGUGCAAUGGCAUAAGCCAGCUUGACUGCGAGCGUGACGGCGCGAGCAGGUGCGAAAGCAGGUCAUAGUGAUCCGGUGGUUCUGAAUGGAAGGGCCAUCGCUCAACGGAUAAAAGGUACUCCGGGGAUAACAGGCUGAUACCGCCCAAGAGUUCAUAUCGACGGCGGUGUUUGGCACCUCGAUGUCGGCUCAUCACAUCCUGGGGCUGAAGUAGGUCCCAAGGGUAUGGCUGUUCGCCAUUUAAAGUGGUACGCGAGCUGGGUUUAGAACGUCGUGAGACAGUUCGGUCCCUAUCUGCCGUGGGCGCUGGAGAACUGAGGGGGGCUGCUCCUAGUACGAGAGGACCGGAGUGGACGCAUCACUGGUGUUCGGGUUGUCAUGCCAAUGGCACUGCCCGGUAGCUAAAUGCGGAAGAGAUAAGUGCUGAAAGCAUCUAAGCACGAAACUUGCCCCGAGAUGAGUUCUCCCUGACUCCUUGAGAGUCCUGAAGGAACGUUGAAGACGACGACGUUGAUAGGCCGGGUGUGUAAGCGCAGCGAUGCGUUGAGCUAACCGGUACUAAUGAACCGUGAGGCUUAACCUU
rnacentral:rRNA from 1 species